CGGCCUGAGGCUCAUUUUUUUUCGUCGGCCCUCGUGCUCCUCGCGUGCCAGUCUUUUUUUCGUCGGCCCUCGUGCUACUCACGCCACUCUCCAUUCCUUCUCUCUCCUCCUUUUUCCAUUGUCUUCUUUUUUCAACCCUAAACCUCAGCCGCUUUCUUUCUUCUCCCUACUCUCCAUUUCUUCCUCCUUUUUCCUUUGUUUCCUUUCAACCCUAAACCGCAGCUCCAGCUAGGCAGAAUUCCAACAAAAAAUUCUCUCAUAUCCCUCCAGGCCGCAACUCCAGCCCACUUAUACCCUCUCCUCUACAAAGAAGUUGUCAAUCAUCUCUCUCUCCUUCUCCGAUCAACUGCAAAGCUAAAGUUUCCUGGAUUCUCGCUUAAAUUUUAGAAAAUUUUUGGGCAAUUCUUCUCCAUUUCCCACAAAAAAAAAACAUGAUUUCAAUCAGAUAUCCAUGGCCAUGAUGUAAGCAUUUCUGAUUUUGUUCUGCUUUUUUAAGGCUAUUAUUAAUCCCUUGGAGCUAGCAAUGGAAGCACUCAAAGAGAUCCAAUUAUGGUUCUAUAAAGAUUUCCCUCCUCAUCCUAAGGAACAAGUUUAUGGAUUUGCAACACCAUCAACAAUGAAACCAACUCAAUGGUCUUAUCCAGGUGGUGGAAUUAACCAAAUCCAGCUGAAUGUACAGUUUCAAGGGAUGUUAGGUUGACUCCAUUUUACAGUGUAUCAGAUGUGCUGAAGAAGUUACAGGAGUAUGUAGAAGACAUAAAUGAAAACAUUGAGAAGCUUGAUACUAGGGACCCUGUUUCAAAAUAUGUGCUACCAGAUGAAAACCUAAGGGGAAGAAUCACACUAAGUUACAACGAGGCAAAUUCUGGAGUUGCUUGCAACCUUCAAUCCCCUGGUUUCCAUGUCCUAUGUAAAGCGACUGAAGAGGCAGUGGUGCAUGUAAAGCCCUAUUCUAUUACUGGUAGUUUGCCACUUAUUAGAGAAUUGCAGGUACAAUGAAUUUGCUUGUCAUAAGACUCAAAUCUUUUGUCAUCCUUCUAACUUUGUUAUUUGGCAGGAUGAGGGCUUUGAUGUCCAAACUGCAGGCUAUGCUAAGAUUCUUCCAUAUCCUACCACUUUUUUAUUUAAAUAAUAUAAGCUUAUAGCUGUAUGCUUCUGAUAGUAUUUUGUGAAAAAGAUGUUUUGGUCUGCAUUAGGAUUUUUCCCAGAGCUUGGUUGCUUGAAUCCUUUCUUGAGCAUGUUACUUGCCAGUUAUACCAUUCUUCUUAUCUUAGAAGGAACUCAAUGAAAGCAUGUUAAGAUUCUGUCUUCUUGAUAAUUAUUUCUUCUAUAUGGCUAACACCUAACCUGGUUGACGUCUUCUAUACCCAUUCUGAUGCAAAAGAUAUAUAUGCUGCUGUCAAUUUUGGCUACACCAAAACAGAUGGAUUAAUGGAUUUUGCUCUUUUCAUAAACAUGCAGGCUUGAUGGCUACAUACCAUGCCAAGAAUGAGUACUGCCUUCUAACUGACUUGUGCCAGGGCUAUCAUGUGCCUUGGCUAUCAAGUACCAAGGCCUUGGCUAUCAUGUGCCCAUGUCAUGAUAAUAAUAACGAAUAAAAUUCAUGACUUUCAUUAUUGAUGUGAAUGUCAGAUGAUGGAAUAGUGGUAAAGGUGAGGUUAUUUUCUUUUAAUGUGUAGGAAGUUCCACGAAUGGUUGGUGGGCUUGUUAAGACUAUAUUUUCUUGCAUGUGGGAUAUUCUUUUGUAUAUUUUCUAGCAUGUAGGAUAUUCUUUUGUGACUUGUGAGAAAGUCAUGGUAAUUGUUAUGUUUCAUAUGAAUAGUUUCCAUAUUUUAGUUAUUCCUAUCUGACACAUAUGGCUCACUCAUUGCCAAGUCUUGGAAAUUUUUUGCAUGGGAGCACCAUUGAUGGUAAUAAAUGGAAAAAAAAUAACAAUUAUAGGUGCAGAAAUGGUAUAAUGGUAAGGUUUCUUACACAAAUUGAAAAAAAAUGAAAGAAAAUGAUAGGGAUGAAAAAAUAUAAAGGACUUUAUGAACUUUGUGUUUCUAUAGCCAUUUGAUAUUCACACACAGAUUAUUGCUUCAUUUUGAAACAGGUUGCAAAGGAGGGAAUUCCACUGCCUCCAGAUAGAAUGUUAUGCCCUUUGCAUUCACAAAAAGCGUGUAAACCCAUCAGCUGUAGCUGUUUCAGGAUUUGUCUUUUGUUAUUCUUACAUAUUUAAAUAAGUCUCUUAGGUUUGUUUCUCCAUACUUUUGUAUUGAUCAUGGUAAAAUUGCAGAACUACUGCCAAAUAUUGUUUCUAAGUGAUGCUUUCUCUUAUGUCACAUUUCAGGAAGCUUUUAUCAUUUUUCUAUAUAGUGUACGCUAAACUUAAACAGUAAAUUGUACACUGUAGCCAGAAAUUCAAUUUUGCAACUAAUUCUUUUGUUUAAUCAUACUAGCAGUUGCUUG